rnacentral:rRNA from 1 species
GAUCCUGGCUCAGGAUGAACGCUAGCUACAGGCUUAACACAUACAAGUCGAGGGGCAGCGGGAUUGAAGCUUGCUUCAAUUGCCGGCGACCGGCGCACGGGUGAGUAACGCGUAUCCAACCUUCCGUACACUCAGGGAUAGCCUUUCGAAAGAAAGAUUAAUACCUGAUGGUAUGAUGAGAUUGCAUGAUAUCAUCAUUAAAGAUUUAUCGGUGUACGAUGGGGAUGCG